GAAACUUUCCCACUCGAGACUUUCGGAGGAGGUAAUGACCAGUUCCAUUGAUGCCUUUUGGUAUUGUGGAUAGGGGUACGGUUUUCCACCGUACCGAAACCUAGCAGAGGGCCAGUCUGGUGCCAGCAGCUGCGGUAAUUCCAGCUCUGCGAGUUUGCUCCCAUAUUGUUGCAGUUAAAACGCCCGUAGUCUGAAUUGGCCAGCAAUGGUCGUAUGUAUUUAUACGUUCACUGUGAACAAAUCAGGACGCUUAGAGUAUGGCUACAUGAAUGACUCAGCGCAGUAUGAAGUCUUUGUUUUCUUCCGAAAACAAGCUCAACGAGAGCCAUCGGGGGUAGAUCUAUCUCAUGACGAGUGGUGGAAUACUUUGACUCAUGAGAGAGAAUCUGAGGCGAAGGCGUCUACCUAGAGGGUUUCUGUCGAUCAAGGGCGAGAGUAGGAGUAUCCAACAGGAUUAGAGACCCUGGUAGUUCCUACCUUAAACGAUGCCGACAGGAGUUUGUCACUUAUUAGUGGCAGAAUCUUUGGAGAAAUCAUAGUUCUUGGGCUCUGGGGGAACUACGACCGCAAGGCUGAAACUUGAAGGAAUUGACGGAAGGGCACACCAGGGGUGGAGCCUGUGGCUUAAUUUGAAUCAACACGGGGAAACUUACCAGGACCAGAUGUUUUUUAUGACUGACAGGCUUUGGGUCUUUCAGGAUAUUGCUUUUGGUGGUGCAUGGCCGUUGGUGGUGCGUGGGUUGACCUGUCUAGCGUUGAUUCAGCUAACGAGCGAGAUUAUCGCCAAUUAUCUACUUCGUCUAAGUCUUUAGAUGGAAGUUCUAAUUGGGACUCCCUGCGAUUUUAGCAGGUGGAAGAGGGUAGCAAUAACAGGUCCGUGAUGCCCUUUAGAUGCUCUGGGCUGCACGCGUGCUACAAUGUUAGGAUCAAUAGGACUGCAAAGCCGAGAGGCCGCGCUACUCUUAUAAUCCCUAACGUAGUUGGGAUUGACGUUUGUAAUCAGCGUCAUGAACCAGGAAUCCCUUGUAAAUGUGUGUCAACAACGCACGUUGAAUACGUCCCUGCCCUUUGUACACACCGCCCGUCGCUCCUACCGAUUGGAUGACUCGGUGAAAUCACCGG
rnacentral:rRNA from 1 species